CGCCCAUUAGCUAGCCCCACCCCCACCCCUAACAAACAAAUAUAAAUAAUCCAAAAUAUACGUCAUAUAUUUAACCAAACCAUUUUUCUCCACAGUAUAGGUGAUAGAAAAGGACCUAUGGGAGCCAUAGAAAAAGUACCGCAAGGGAACGCUGAAAAAGAUAUGAAAAAGACCAGUAAAGCAAAAAAAAGCAGAGAUUUUCCCUCGUACCUUUUGCAUCAUGAUUUAGCCAGUAAAUUUAAGCAAAAAGAAUUUUAGUUUAAAACCCCGAAACCAAGUGAGCUACUCCAAGACAGCCUAAUAUAUAGGGCAAACCCGUCUCUGUGGCAAAAGAGUGGGAAGAACUUUGAGUAGAGGUGACAGACCUAUCGAACCUGGUUAUAGCUGGUUGCCUGAGAACUGAAUAGAAGUUCAGCCCUAAGGAUUCUCUUGUCCAACAUAUUUUAUUUUUCUUGACACAUUUAAAGAAGCCUUAAGAGUUAGUCAAAGGGGGUACAGCUCCUUUGACUCAAGAUACAACUUUUCCAGGAGGGUAAAUAUUAUAAUACUGAAGGAACAAUGUGCCGGUGGGCCUAAAAGCAGCCAUCCCAACAGAAAGCGUUAAAGCUCAAACAUUAAUUUCUCCCGAUAUCCCAAUAAACCCCUAUUAUCCCCCUAAUUCUUAUCAGGCCGCCCCAUGCCUACAUGGGGGUGACCAUGCUAAUAUGAGUAAUAAGAAGGGCAAACCCCUUCUCCCAGCACACGUGUAAAUCGGAACGAACCCAUCACCGAAAAUUAACCGGCCCCAAAUAAAGAGGGUAAUUAAUACAGAAUAAUAAGCCAGAAAAGUAUUAACUUACAACACCGUUAAACCCACACCGGCGUGCAACCAGGGAAAGACUAAAAGAAAAAGAAGGAACUCGGCAAACACUAACCAAGCCUCGCCUGUUUACCAAAAACAUCGCCUCUUGUAAUCCAAAAAAUAAGAGGUCCCGCCUGCCCAGUGACAACUCAGUUCAACGGCCGCGGUAUCCUAACCGUGCAAAGGUAGCGCAAUCACUUGUCUUUUAAAUGAAGACCUGUAUGAAUGGCAUAACGAGGGCUUAACUGUCUCCUUUUUCAAGUCAAUGAAAUUGAUCUCCCCGUGCAGAAGCGGGGAUGUUAACAUAAGACGAGAAGACCCUAUGGAGCUUUAGACACAAGACAGACUUCGUCACUCACCCCUAUGAUAAAAGAGUUAAACUAAAAAGACCUGUCCUUAUGUCUUCGGUUGGGGCGACCAUGGGGCAAUAAAAAACCCCCACGUGGACUGGGAGAUCAAACCCACCUUAUCCUUCCUCCCAAAACUAAGAGCGACAGCUCUAAUCAACAGAAUUUCUGACCAAAAAUGAUCCGGCAACGCCGAUCAACGGACCAAGUUACCCUAGGGAUAACAGCGCAAUCCCCUUUUAGAGCCCAUAUCGACAAGGGGGUUUACGACCUCGAUGUUGGAUCAGGACAUCCUAAUGGUGCAGCCGCUAUUAAGGGUUCGUUUGUUCAACGAUUAAAGUCCUACGUGAUCUGAGUUCAGACCGGAGUAAUCCAGGUCAGUUUCUAUCUAUGACGUAAGCUUUUCUAGUACGAAAGGACCGAAAAGAAGAGGCCCAUGCUAAAAGCACGCCUCACCCCAAUCUAAUGAAGCCAUAUAAAUUAGACAAAGGGGGACACCUCUCAUGUCAAAGAGCCUGACAU
rnacentral:rRNA from 1 species